rnacentral:rRNA from 1 species
AACGAACGCUGACGGCGUGCCUAACACAUGCAAGUCGAACGAGAAAGUCCCGGCUUGCCGGGAUUAGUAAAGUGGCGCACGGGUGAGUAACGCGUGGGUAAUCUGCCUUUAAGUUCGGGAUAACACUGCGAAAGCGGUGCUAAUACCGGAUAUGCUUACGGUUUGAAAUGUCCGUGAGAAAAGAUGGCCUCUGACAUAAGCUAUCGCUUGAAGAUGAGCCCGCGUACCAUUAGCUUGUUGGUGGGGUAAUGGCCUACCAAGGCUACGAUGGUUAGCUGGCCUGAGAGGGCGGCCAGCCACACUGGAACUGAGACACGGUCCAGACUCCUACGGGAGGCAGCAGUGGGGAAUAUUGCGCAAUGGGGGAAACCCUGACGCAGCGACGCCGUGUGAGUGAUGAAGGCUUUCGGGUCGUAAAGCUCUGUCGGAUGGGACGAAUAAGGGCUGUGUGAAUAAUGCAGUCCGAUGACGGUACCGUCGAAGGAAGCACCGGCUAACUACGUGCCAGCCGCCGCCGUAAAAA